GGGAGUGCCAGGAAGAUAGGAGGCUGAAUUUGGUGUCAUGGGCUGUCCACCAGGGGUUGAAGGCAAGUAUGGGCUCGGAGCAUUUGCUGAACACAAAGACAGGUAUUUCUAAGAUAUGGUAUUUAUUGUAAGGAAAAAUUCAGAAGUUAAAGUUAAAUACAAAUGCACCAACCAUAGGCUGAACCACUAUCACGGGGGGUACCGGCAUCACUGUAACUGCCACCAGGAGUAUUUGCCCAACCAGAACCAGGAGUUGGAGCUUCGUAUGUUCGUGAAGGAGGACUUCCUGGC
rnacentral:lncRNA from 1 species